CGCGUAGGAAUCUACCUGGUAGUGGGGGACAACUUGGGGAAACCCAAGCUAAUACCGCAUACGCCCUAUGGGGGAAAGGCGGGGGACCGUUCGGGCCUCGCGCUAUCAGAUGAGCCUGCGUAGGAUUAGCUUGUUGGUGAGGUAAAGGCUCACCAAGGCGACGAUCCUUAGCUGGUCUGAGAGGAUGAUCAGCCACACUGGGACUGAGACACAGCCCAGACUCCUACGGGAGGCAGCAGUGGGGAAUAUUGCGCAAUGGGGGCAACCCUGACGCAGCCAUGCCGCGUGUGUGAAGAAGGC
rnacentral:rRNA from 1 species